UAGAGUUAUAAGCAUGUAUAUCUCUGUGCCAUUAUAUGCGAGAAAUAAACAAAUAGAGAGUAUACGGUUCAAUAUGGUCCAGCAAACACACUAAUGCCAGCAAGAGAUAUAGAACAUGGACAAGGGACAAAUGAGAGGGACAAAGGAUAAAUGGAAGGCGUCGGUCAAAAACAAUAGCAUUGGUCCUUAGGUUAGGUGUAGCGAUUGACCACAUAAGUCAGUAGAAUUAGUUUAUAUUCUGUCUAUUAGCAAUCGCUAUUGAGUGUCCGAACUGUCCCUGACGGUAGGUACGUGUUGUUUAGUCGGGCUUCUCCGCUGGUGCGCUCUUCCUGAGGUUCUUUUCUCACGUGGUGUAUCUUCCCCGGUUGCUCCCUCUAAGGCGUUGGUGGCCGAUAGGCCUAAUUUAUGAUAGAGCGUCUCUGGGUCAUCCGAGGAUGUCAGGGUGAGUGUUUCCGCGCCUCGUGUGAUGGCCAGGGAGACUUCUGCGUUCCGGCGGUACUUGACUGAGCAGUCUCGCAACUUCUUAGCCACCGGUGCCAGCUGCCUCCUUUCUGCUAGGACAAGGAAUGGUAGGUCACUGUAGAUGGAUAGGUUAUGGCCCUCGAAAUGCACUCGACCCAUUGUUCUGGAUUUAUUCAGGAUGGCGG